GGGUGUUACGGUACAGAGUCAAUGUGGAGGCUAUAUACAGGGGGUACCAGUACAGAGUCAAUGUGGAGGCUAUAUACAGGGGGUACCAGUACAGAGUCAAUGUGGAGGCUAUAUACAGGGGGGUACCAGUACAGAGUCAAUGUGGAGACUAUAUACAGGGGGUACCAGUACAGAGUCAAUGUGGAGGCUAUAUACAGGGGGGUACCAGUACAGAGUCAAUGUGGAGGCUAUAUACAGGGGGGUACCGGUACAGAGUCAAUGUGGAGGCUAUAUACAGGGGGUACCAGUACAGAGUCAAUGUGGAGGCUAUAUACAGGGGGUACCGGUACAGAGUCAAUGUGGAGGCUAUAUACAGGGGGGUACCGGUACAGAGUCAAUGUGGAGGCUAUAUACAGGGGGGUACCGGUACAGAGUCAAUGUGGAGACUAUAUACAGGGGGUACCGGUACAGAGUCAAUGUGGAGGCUAUAUACAGGGGGUACCAGUACAGAGUCAAUGUGGAGACUAUAUACAGGGGGUACCGGUACAGAGUCAAUGUGGAGGCUAUAUACAGGGGGGUACCGGUACAGAGUCAAUGUGGAGGCUAUAUACAGGGGGUACCAGUACAGAGUCAAUGUGGAGGCUAUAUACAGGGGGUACCGGUACAGAGUCAAUGUGGAGGCUAUAUACAGGGGGCACCAGUACAGAGUCAGUGUGGAGACUAUAUACAGGGGGUACCGGUACAGAGUCAGUGUGGAGACUAUAUACAGGGGGUACCAGUACAGAGUCAAUGUGGAGGCUAUAUACAGGGGGUACCAGUACAGAGUCAAUGUGGAGGCUAUAUACAGGGGGUACCGGUACAGAGUCAAUGUGGAGGCUAUAUACAGGGGGUACCGGUACAGAGUCAAUGUGGAGGCUAUAUACAGGGGGUACCAGUACAGAGUCAAUGUGGAGGCUAUAUACAGGGGGUACCGGUACAGAGUCAAUGUGGAGGCUAUAUACAGGGGGUACCAGUACAGAGUCAAUGUGGAGGCUAUAUACAGGGGGUACCGGUACCGAGUCAGUGUGGAGGCUAUAUACAGGGGGUACCAGUACAGAGUCAAUGUGGAGGCUAUAUACAGGGGGUACCAGUACAGAGUCAAUGUGGAGGCUAUAUACAGGGGGUACCAGUACAGAGUCAAUGUGGAGGCUAUAUACAGGGGGUACCAGUACAGAGUCAAUGUGGAGGCUAUAUACAGGGGGUACCGGUACAGAG
rnacentral:lncRNA from 1 species